rnacentral:misc_RNA from 1 species
AACUUCUUGGGAAAAAGCUGCCCUUAGUGAGGCAAUCUCAGCUUCUGUCCUGUGACCCUCUUCGCCCCAGUCAAGCAGCUUAACAGCAACAUCGUGGCCAUCGUAGAUGCCACGGUGAACAGUGCCGAAGGUACCACGUGCAAUGACACUUUUGAUGAUGAGCUUAGAAGGGUCGAUCUCCCAUUCCUGCCUGUCCUUCUUGAACGUAGCUGCACUAGUCUUGGUGCCGUCGGCGGCAGCCGUAGUCAGUGGUGCGAGAUCAUCAUCAGGUCUCUUGUUCUGGUCCAUGGUCCAUACCUUAUUGAGAUGCCUCUCGAGUUGCU